CUGAGUGGCAAUAAAAAAAUACGCCCGAUCUCGUCCGAUCUCGGAAGCUAAGCAGGGCCCGGGCCUGGUUAGUACUUUGAUGGGAGACUGCCUGGGAAUACCAGGUGCUGUAAGC
rnacentral:rRNA from 1 species